CUAAUUUGUGUUGAGCAAUCUGAGAACUGACUUUUUAGUGUCUGUGCAUUCAGACUGUAAAAUACACCAGCAAGAAAGAGUGGAAACAGCAGAGUCGAAGACCCUACAUUAUAUUUAGAACAUGAAACAGAAGCCGAACAGUGACGACACUGCCAAUGGAUUCCUCUGCCAAAUAAAUCCAAAACCUGCUGCCGCAGACAAACCACAACAACCAGGCCCAAGAAAAUACACGUGACUGACGCGGUUGUUGCUGCUGUUGCUGUAUCAUCAUAGAGAGGUUGGUUUCUGUGCGAAUAUGAUUGCUGAUUACAUGAGUACCGGAGGAUGGUCUACUGGUUGCUGGGUUUUGCUUGGCCUGUUGAGGAUUACUGACUCUUCCAAUAUGAACUGUAUCUCUCUGGAAUUCGAUGGCUUAAGGUCUUCAGACCAAUGGAUAGAAAUUAAAGAGAACAGCUAUAUCAAUCUCACGGCUAAUUUACAAUGGACGCCUGGUUGUGAGAGGAACAGCAAAGACAGAAUACAAUUGAAGAUCACGUAUCCAGAAGGUUCGUUUUCUAUAGACGUCUGUAAGUUAAUAUUAACAACAAACUGCGAUGAAUCCGAUACAUCGAAUGCUACAUCCGUGUGUCGGUGCUUAAACAAAAUUCUGUCCAGUUUUACAAAAAAUUCAGCAGAUUUGACAGCAGGAACUAUACCUGGACGUGGGUUAACCUCAGAAACACUUCAACUGAAAAACGGAAGGAAAUUUUCAUAUCUGUCAUAACCAUGUCCUCGGAGGAGCGCUCUAGCAUUCCAUGGAUAACUGCAUCCACAUGUGCCUUCGUCGGUGUCGUUGUUGUAGUUGCUGUUGGCUUCAUCUUAUGGAAGCGAAAGAUUGUAUUCUGUUGCCAGGAAUACUCUUCGAGUCCACCUGGUGUUGAUACUGAGUGUCGAGACAAUAAUGAGGAAACGAGACAGGUAGAUGGCUCGGUCUAUACUGACAUCAAAGACGUCCAAGAUGAUGACAUGAGUCAUCCACAUGACCCCAGCUACGUGUACAUCAAAGAAGAGAUGAACCACCCAGGUCAGAGAAAAUAUGCUUACAUCAGAAAACAAGACAAAAGUCGAGCACAUAACUCCACCUACCUACACCCCGUACAGGAGGGAAUAAUCCAGCAAGAAGACCUCACCUACGAUCACCUGCGUGCUCUUAGAUAAAUGGAUUACUUCUGUAUGCGACAGUAGCACCGGUGUGUAAUUUUUAAAUUUCUUUGUAAUCAUCUCUUUUGUCUUUAAUUGUAAUUCUCUUUCUGUUAUGACCAUCUGUGUUGUCUGCACAGUGUAACAUUCUUCUCGCUAAACCGAACGCAUGUUGUCACAAGAGACAGUCUCUUAUAGAUAUAUGGUGUGCAUGUAAAAUCAGACAUUGUCAUUUAGAUUAUUUUAGUUUAGUCAUUUGAGAAUGUGAUUCGUUUGAAUGCUCUUUAGAAAACUACGGCAGCAGGAAACAUUUAAAUAAGUAGUACUACAUUUGUGACUUCUUAAGUUCGCAAACCUGUUUCCUGGAGAGAAUUGUUCGUAACAAAUCUGAGUGAUAUCACGAUACCAUUUAGACGAUAUUAUAAGACUAAUGACAACUUGUACAUGUAAGUUAAAUUACUUUUAUUGUAAUUCUAUUAAAGAUUUACAAAAACUAUACAUCGACAUUUAUUUCUACACAUUGGUAUUCUACAACACAUUUAAAAUACAUUUACAAAACGAGGAACAUAGAAAUAACACUUUCCAUUCAUUCAUUCAUGUGUACAUGAUCUCAUUCAUUCUACUCUUGUAUGUCCAGCAAAAGCAAAAAUAUGUUAGUUAAGCAAACAAAGGCGAAUGAGAAAUUAGUAGAUAGGGAAGUAAAAAAAGGAUAAAAGAAUAAAGACAAUGGGGAGAUGAUACUAGAAAUCUAUUAUAUAUACAAACCCGUGUAAACAAUGUACCUCUCGCCAAACCUUUUUGUAGUGACAAUAAAGAUUUUAUUUCUUUUACAUGAAACUUCUGCUUAUUUGCUAUGUUAAACAGGAAAUCAAUGCAUAUUUUUUUUUUGUGAUCCAAGUCAUUCUUCCUCUUCUUUCCAAAAAGUUGGGAAUUGAUGUUUAAGCUCAGCUAAGGUUGCAACAGGCGCAACUAUGUUUUUUUUUUAAAUUUUAACAAUGACUACUCACAAUGUUCAAUUGCCUUCCCCAAAAACUAAUAAGACAACCAAAAUGUUAUAUGUAGAAAUAUAUAGCAUGACACAUAUUACUCAUUACAACAGAGCUGAGUAUUUUGGUUGUUUCAAAGUUGCAAGUAAAGUUUUGACUAAUUAACAAUUACAUUUUUAACACAAUUAUCGGAAAUAAUUCUUUUGUCGUCGAUACAUCUCAACUCUAACAAGAAGACAGUUGUACAAAGUGACAAAAAGGUCCUUGCUAGAUAAGGACAAAGUGAUCAUUUUCAUAAUAUGUUGAUGCCAAACAUAUCAAACGUCCUUUAACUUGUAUAUUGACGAGAGAGCUAUUUAUAGUUCACAUACAAAUAAUUAUUUAUUUAAAAUUAAGAUAAAUUAUUUUCAUGCCUAUCUUAAAGACAGCAAAAAAAAAAAAAAAAA
rnacentral:lncRNA from 1 species